AACCUCUCUUCUCCCUCUUCCUCUUGCCUCAGCAAUAUUUCCUCCUCUCGUGCUAAGAGGAGCUCUGCAGCGUCCAACAGAGGGUCUUCUGCGAGCUCUUGAGCGAGGAGGAGGAGAGCAGCUUGGACGGCCAUCUUUGUCAACAAUACCCGUAUGGCUUGCGCGUUCCCUUGCGUUCCGUUGGGGGUUGCGGGGGGGGCAGCGUGCUAACUUCCAACGGAACGCAGCCCAGGGCCGCGUUCCGUUGGGGACCGUAUGGCGUACAGUAUGGCAUACUUCCCCCGAAUCGGGGGGGACCAGCAUACGGCUCGCCUUGCGGGAGCGUGCGGGACCUUGCGCUCCUCGGAGGUGAAUGCUUGGCGGUGUCUGGCAACUAUUGUUUAUCAACAAACCGCAGACGUCCGCCGCUUCACCACUAUAUUAUCAGUGUGGGGGAUGUAAAUGCUAUUUUGACAGCUUAUGCGACGUCACAGAACAUCAAAAACAAUGUGCCUCUGAGGCAGAAGAGACAGCCUCUACCGCCAUGGUAGCUGCUGCAGAGGCCCCUCCAGCACCUGUGGCUGCAGGGACAGUUUCCCUUUGCAUUCGAAAGUGUUCUAUAAGUCUUUCCCGGAGUAAAGAGGCACUAUCA